rnacentral:misc_RNA from 1 species
AAGUCGUAACAAGGUCUCCGUAGGUGAACCUGCGGAGGGAUCAUUACAGAGCUCAUGCCCUAACGGGUAGAUCUCCCACCCUAUGUUAUCAUUACCAUGUUGCUUUGGCGGGCGUCAGCUCAGCGCUCGGCUAGCCGCUCUCGGCUGUGAAGCGCCAGCCACGCAGGAGCUCCAAACCCUGAAUAUUCGUGUCGUCUGAGUACCAUAUAAUAGUUAGAA